rnacentral:rRNA from 1 species
GACGAACGCUGGCGGCGUGCUUAACACAUGCAAGUCGAACGGAAAGGCCCUGCUUUUGUGGGGUGCUCGAGUGGCGAACGGGUGAGUAACACGUGAGUAACCUGCCCUUGACUUUGGGAUAACUUCAGGAAACUGGGUUUAAUACCGGAUAGGAGCUCCUGCUGCAUGGUGGGGGUUGGAAAGUUUCGGCGGUUGGGGAUGGAUUGGCGGCUUAUCGGCUUGUUGGUGGUGUAGUGGCUUACCAAGGCUUUGACGGGUAGGCGGCAUGAGAGGGUGACCGGGGACAUUGGGACUGAGAUACGGACCAGAGUGCUACGGGAGGCAGCAGUGGGGAAUAUUGCACAAUAGGCGGAAGCGUGAGGCAGCAACGCCGGGUGCGGGAUGACGGCCUUCGGGUUGUAAACCGCUUUCGCCUGUGACGAAGCGGGAGUGACGGUAAUGGGUGAAGAAGCACCGGCUAACUACGUG